CGCUAGUAGUUGAAAUUUGGCAAUUAAGAUGGCACAAUACGGGGCUGAAUAUGGCAACCAAAAGAGCCAGUACGAUGAGUACGGAAACCCAGUUCGUCAGACAGACGAAUAUGGUAACCCAGCCCGCCAUGGAGGUACCAUGGGUGAUUAUGGAACCACUGGCACUACUGGAGCCUAUGGUGGCACAGCUGGAGCACAUGGGACUUAUGCAACUGGAACCACCGGCACUACCGGUACCGGUGCGUAUGCCACCCAGCCUGGCACUGAUGUGGGGAAGGAGCACCAUGGCCUUGGUGGCAUGCUUCAUCGCUCUGGUAGCGGUAGCUCUAGCUCGGUAUGCCCUCCUAAUUAAUCUCGUCUUGCUUAAAUUGUACUGAGUUGUAGUAGCAUUUAACAAAUCUUGACCAGCUUGUGAUGACUGGUAAUUAAAAAGUUCUUAUCUGUUUUCUUUUUGUUUUUUCGGUUGGGAUGCAGUCCGAGGAUGAUGGGCAAGGCGGGAGGAGGAAGAAGGGGAUGAAGGAGAAGAUAAAGGAGAAACUGCCUGGCGGUCACAAGGAGGCUCGACCUGGACAAGAAUAUUCGAGUGCUACUACAGCUCCUGGAUACGGCGGGGAAGGAGAGCAGCACGAGAAGAAAGGAAUUAUGGAUAAAAUCAAGGAGAAAUUACCAGGGGGUCACAACAACUGAAGAUCUAAUUCUAAUAAUAUGGGAUCCAAUUAUGAUAUUGUGUACCCCUAUUUUCAAUCUCAAUCUCAAUCUCGUUCGUGUCAUGUUUGUGUUUUCUGAGAUUUGAGUGUGUGGACGU
rnacentral:lncRNA from 1 species